UAUUACCAGAAGCGACGGCAGGGUGAAGGCCAAGCUAAUGACUUUGCCUGACGAGCCGAGAGGUGGUGCAUGGCGAUCGUCAAGUUCGUGGUGUGAACUAUCAGGUUAAGUCCUGUAACGAACGAGAUCCUCGUUGACAGUUGCUACUGUUCCAGAGAUGGAGCAGGCACUCUGUCGAGACCGCCUACGUUUAAGUAGGAGGAAGGAGAGGGCGACGAUACGUCAGUAUGCCCUGAAUCUCCUGGGCUACACGCGGCAUACAAAGGUCGGUACAAUGAGAUGCAAUGCCGAGAGGCAAGGCCAAACCCCUAAACCGACCCAAGUUCGGAUUGAGGGCUGAAACUCGCCCUCAUGAAGAUGGGAUCCCUAGUAAUCGCUUGUCACUAUCGAGCGGUGAAUACGUCCCU
rnacentral:rRNA from 1 species